rnacentral:rRNA from 1 species
AACGAACGCUGGCGGCAUGCCUAACACAUGCUAGUCGAACGAGACCUUCGGGUCUAGUGGCGCACGGGUGCGUAACGCGUGGGAACCUGCCUUUAGGUUCGGAAUAACUCAGAGAAAUUUGAGCUAAUACCGGAUGAUGUCUUCGGACCAAAGAUUUAUCGCCUUUAGAUGGGCCCGCGUUGGAUUAGCUAGUUGGUGGGGUAAAGGCCUACCAAGGCGACGAUCCAUAGCUGGUCUGAGAGGAUGAUCAGCCACACUGGGACUGAGACACGGCCCAGACUCCUACGGGAGGCAGCAGUGGGGAAUAUUGGACAAUGGGCGAAAGCCUGAUCCAGCAAUGCCGCGUGAGUGAUGAAGGCCUUAGGGUUGUAAAGCUCUUUUACCCGAGAUGAUAAUGACAGUAUCGGGAGAAUAAGCUCCGGCUAACUCCGUG